GCUCAGAGGGUCCUGGCGGCGCAUCCCCGAGUGCCGUCGCCGCCGAAGCGACGCGAGGACGCUAGCGCCAACUCGCCAAGCCCCCGCCGCUCCGUCCAAGCGCCGCCGUCCAUCAGCCUUCCCAACCGGCGCCGCUGCCCCUACGCCUUCCCGUCCGGCACCGCUGCCCCUACGCCUCUCCACCUCCUCGGACCUGCAACGGCGCCUCCGGCCUCCGCCUCGGCUGCCACUUCCGCAUCCACCACGGCGUCGGCACCUCGUCUUCCUCGGCUGGCAUAUGUGAGUCCUCCUCCUCCCC
rnacentral:lncRNA from 1 species